UCUACGAGAAUUUUUAUGAAAGCGUUUCAUUUGCUUCUCUUCAAUGGAAGUUUCAUUUUCCCAGAAUGUAUCCUAAUUUUUGGCCUAAUUCUUCUUCUGAUGAUCGAUUCAACCGUCCGUCCGUUUCUCGUUUGA
rnacentral:rRNA from 1 species